AGCCAAUUCCACCAACCACAAAGUCUUCAGCUGCUGGAGGUCUCAUUUGUACAGCAUGUGGGCCUGCCUGUCCUUUCACCAUGGCCUGCCUCCUCCUCUCACAGCACAUCGGCUUCUGCAUCCACUCCAGAGUCACCCAGAAGAGAGCCAGGGCCAUAAAGACCAGCAGCACCCUACUGUAAUAUGCCAGCCACCUCCCAGGACUUGACCCAAGUGACCUUUGACCCUGAGCAUAGGGGCUCUGGGCUGGGAUGCAGUCAGAGCUGGGAAUCAGAUGAUCAGUAGGCAAGUUCUUCUUCUCCUGGCUAAGUGGUGCUCCCUGGGUCUGUAGAGAACUGUUCCACAGCUGCCCCAGCCUGAUUGUGCCUGGUCUUGGUUCGUUCUUCUUAUCCUGGAGCAGCUAGGGGGUGUGAGUUCUCAUGCAGGGCCCUGCCCUAGUCCCUGUGCUCCAGGCUCUAUUUGGGGAAGAGGAAAUUAGGGCUCUGGGAAGGGCGAGACUCCUGGCCUGGGAGAAACUGGGAGCUGAAGGUGAAAUACUAAUGGAUUCACCCUCCUCUUCCUUCUACUAGAACUCCUCCAAGUUCCCCCACACAAUUAACCCUUUACUUUUGGUGAUCCAGCUGCAAGCUGCUGAGACUGAAAUCAAAGACUUGCAGUCAGCGUGUGAGCUGGAGAAGAUUAUCUCACUACCGUUCGCUGAAGGAGUGGGACUGCUUCCUCUUUCAGCAGCUUCUGGAUCAGGUGCAGCCCCUCAUGCCACAUGACAAUAACUAUAGCAACCUAGAUAAGAUCAGACAGAGUGGGUCUGGGAUGAGGACAGCGACUGCUGAAAACUCCUGGAGCCCGUCAUUCAAAAAACCAGCCCCCCUGCAGCAGUUCCAUCACUGCCACAGACUAAGCCAGCCAAGAAGAGCUCCUCAGGUGAGAACGGAGAGCUGAUGAUGCAGGAAGAAGACCGCUACAAACUGAUGCUGAGCAGGAGUGACAGUGAGAAUAUUACCAGUAACUAUUUCCGGUCCAAACGAGCCAGCCAGAUCCUCGGUGCUGAUCCUACAGAGUCUUCAUAAAUAUCUGACACUCCUCCUUUCCUUUUGUCCAUUUGCCUGUAUCUCCUCCAGUAGGAUGCCAUUCCAUCUGCCAAGCUCAGCACCUCUCAUACCCACGUAAGAUGGUUGAAUGAUAUGAAAGACACAAACAGCCGGCUGAUGCGCUGGUACCUAUUUCUCUAGCCCUACGCAUUCCAAGUUCCGGAUAGGGCAGGCAAAGCUCCCCAGAACACUGACUUUGCUUCCCCGCAUUCCCUGGAGAAAAUGUGAUGGCCCCAGCUCUUUUGGCUCCAUCUUGGGGGGAGGGUGUGUGAUUGGGUGCACAAACCCCACACUGAACAACAAGGGGCUUAGGAAAUAUUCUGGCCUAGCCAGCCCCGCUGCAUCCUUGGCAAAUGCACCAACUGGAGGAGGGGGUAAAAGGCAGGGGAGCAGGUCAUUUUGUAGCAGACCAGGGAGGAGAGCAGACAUGCUACCGGAAGCUCCAGGAGAGACGAACUGGGGGAAGUCAGAAUCUCCCCCUAAAGAACCACCCAAAGGUCCCUCCCUGAGGAAAGGGAAGGCCUGCUGCAGGGACAGCCUGAGAGAGAAGCACUCCCCUCGCCUUGUCAUAUGAACUCUGGACUUGAUUGAUCCCCUUUAUUUGCUGUUUGGACUACCCCAACAGGGGAAAGUCCUUGGACUGAGCUGGCCCCAGGAGACUGGGCCAUACCCCAGGAGGAGGCAGUUGCUACCCGUGAGGAAAGGAGAAUGACCUCGCUACACGCAGCCACCAGACGGUGCCUUGGGGUGAACAGACAACCCUCACACUGCUUUACCCCCGACAGUGACCUUGGGACAGUUACAGGAAGGUGGUAGGAAGUGGCCUUAAGCAUCCUGAGCUGUCAGAGCCCUGAUAGCCAUGGGUGCGCUGGGGCUCAAGACCCCUGGAAAAAAAUACGGGGUGCUCAGCAUGCACCAGCCACACUGGUUCAGGCCUGGGCUGGCUAUCAGCAAACCGGCUAGCAGGAGGUGCUCGGGUGAGGGGUGGAGCAGGGUUAAGAAGAGGCGGAGCAAGUG